rnacentral:rRNA from 1 species
GACGAACGCUGGCGGCGUGCUUAACACAUGCAAGUCGAGCGGUAAGGCCCUUUCGGGGGUACACGAGCGGCGAACGGGUGAGUAACACGUGGGUGACCUGCCCUCAGCUCUGGGAUAAGCCUGGGAAACUGGGUCUAAUACUGGAUAUGACUCCACGGUGCAUGUCGUGGGGUGGAAAGCCUUGUGCGGCUGAGGAUGGGGCCCGCGGCCUAUCAGCUUGUUGGUGGGGUGAGGCCUACCAAGGCGACGACGGGUAGCCGGCCUGAGAGGGCGACCGGCCACACUGGGACUGAGACACGGCCCAGACUCCUAC